UACGGAGGGUGCAAGCGUUAUCCGGAUUCACUGGGUUUAAAGGGUACGUAGGUGGGCAGGUAAGUCAGUGGUGAAAUCUCCGGGCUUAACUCGGAAACUGCCAUUGAUACUAUCUGUCUUGAAUACCGAGGAGGUCAGCGGAAUAUGUCAUGUAGCGGUGAAAUGCUUAGAUAUGACAUAGAACACCAAUUGCGAAGGCAGCUGGCUACACGAAUAUUGACACUGAUGCACGAAAGCGUGGGGAUCAAACAGG
rnacentral:rRNA from 1 species